rnacentral:rRNA from 1 species
GACGUGGAAGGACUAGUGUUAUUCAUCUUAAUAGGUUUAAAGGGUAACUAGACGGUAUUUCUAGCCAAAAAUAGGUACAGAUUUACUAAGAGUUAUAUUGAGAGAAGGUGAGUAGUUUAAGGUGGAGAGAUGAAAUUUUUAAUACCUUAAGGAGCUGAUAAUGGCGAAACGCGAACCUUCUAUGUAAUAACUGACGUUGAGGGACGA